GGACAAUAUAACACUUCUGGAUGUCUCCUGUCACUUUUCUCCUGGGAAGACGAGCUAAUGUGAUUGGUGAAGAGCCUGAAAGCCACCGAGCCAUGAUUUUUCCAAGGACUCUGGUCAUUGAAUUGAAAAGGAGAGUCAAGCUUCUUGGGAGUAUGGCAUAGAUGUAUACAAUUUUUCACAAAGGAGCCCACCAUUUUAACGGAUCAUCCACCUGCGGAUCUUGGAGCAGAAAACCAAUCUAUUUUUUUCUCUAAAACUGAAGGAGUUCUUGAGGGAAGGAAACAGCCCUGUACAUUAUGCAGAGGUGGCAGGAUUCCACCAUCGCAUUAUGAAAGGAUUUUCCUAUGGAAGCCUGGGCGCAGAAAAUUUCAAAGAAACUCCUUUCUUCACAGUGAACGUUAAGGAAAAAAAAAAAAAGCCAAAG